UACGAAGGGGGCUAGCGUUGUUCGGAUUUACUGGGCGUAAAGCGCACGUAGGCGGAUUGUUAAGUCAGGGGUGAAAUCCUGGAGCUCAACUCCAGAACUGCCUUUGAUACUGGCAAUCUCGAGUCCGGAAGAGGUGAGUGGAACUCCUAGUGUAGAGGUGGAAUUCGUAGAUAUUAGGAAGAACACCAGUGGCGAAGGCGGCUCACUGGCCCAUAACUGACGCUGAGGCACGAAAGCGUGGGGAGCAAACAGG
rnacentral:rRNA from 1 species